AGUAUUUUGACUAUACAAAGGUAUUGAAAUAAGACUUUAAUUGAGUGCUAAGAGAAUGGAAUAACAGAAAAAAUCUUUUUUAAACUUAAUAAUUGAAGUUAUUUUUAUUUGUGAAGAAACAAUAAUUAAAAUUAAGGACAAGAAGACCCUAUGAAUUUUUUGAAAUAUAUUUCAAUUAAAGAAAAUAUAUUUAUUUAAUUGGGGCGAUUAAUUAAUAUUUUGAACUUUUUUGCAAAAAAAUGAACCGUUUAAUAGCGGUAAAUUGGAAAAAUACUCUAGGGAUAACAGCGUAAUAAUUUUAGAUAGUUCGUAUUGACAAAAUAGUUUGCGACCUCGAUGUUGGAUUAGGAUGUUUUUUUGGCGAAGAAGUUAAAAAAAAAAGUUUGUUCAACUUUUAAAUUCCU
rnacentral:rRNA from 1 species